UGGCAGACUACUGUUCAAGAAGUGUGUGUGUGUGUCCUAAAAAUUGUCAAAGAAACAUUAGCUCACAGGUUUACACUAGGGCUACCAAAUAUCGUAAACUAGUACAAAUGAGUUGGUACAUGGGCUUGCAUCUAAAUCUAAAAUUAAUCCUACCCUUUCACAACCCUAACAUAUGAAAAGCCAAUGCACCGAGUCCAAUCAAGACCAACUCCAUCA